ensembl:lncRNA
UGGGAGGAGCUACAUCUCGCGCUCGCGUUCUGAGUAUUUCAGUUUCCCAAAUACGCUGUGUGUGUGUGUGUGUGUGCGCGCGUUGGCUCAAAGGAAGAGUUCCUCCAGAAAGACACGCAGCGAAUCUCAGAGCCAAAGGAGGAGCUGCUGUCUGUGACUUUGUCUCUUGUACCCGUCCUCAGAGUUUGAAGCUGAAGAAGAGUCCCUCCUACAGUCAGGACACAUAGUAACACUUUCAGGUAAUAUAUAUUCAAUACAAUCAUGCAUUCCUCUAGGAAAUUUAUUCCAGCAGCUUACAAAAACCCAACCCAACUGUCUGUCACCCAAUGCCAAAACUGAUUUCUGGUAAUACUUGGGCCGUAUCUUUUUCUCUAUAACUGAUUUCAUUUUCAAUGUUAUAAAAUGCUUCUCCUGAUUCAAAUGACCUGCAGACAGUGUUGAGGGGUCAAGGGAAAUAUAAAAGUUAUUUUAUGUGUAUCUUUGCAGGGAAUUGAAAUUUCCAUCAUGUUUUUCGUGUUGAGCAAUACCUUUCUAGCGAAGGCAUCUGCUGACGUUCUCUCCUCUGGCUGUGUUUUCUGGAAGAGCUCCUAAUCUGUCGGAGUUGAGAACCGUGGGACGCCGGGUAAUCAGGCCUGAGCUGCUCCUUCCAAACCAGCCAAACAUCUGGCUGCCUGCCGUUUGACCGCCUUGGCCACACACACACACACACACACGCACGCACGUUUGAUGCUAAAAGCGCUGCAGAGGAGCUCAGAAAUUACACUCAAUAAACACAGAAAUCAAAUAGAAC